rnacentral:rRNA from 1 species
UACAGAGGUCUCAAGCGUUGUUCGGAUUCAUUGGGCGUAAAGGGUGCGUAGGUGGCGAGGUAAGUCGGAUGUGAAAUCUCCGAGCUCAACUCGGAAAUGGCAUUGGAAACUACCUUGCUCGAGGGUCGGAGGGGGGACUGGAAUACUUGGUGUAGCAGUGAAAUGCGUAGAUAUCAAGUGGAACACCAGUGGCGAAGGCGAGUCCCUGGACGACUCCUGACACUGAGGCACGAAAGCUAGGGGAGCAAACAGG